UUUAUUUAGUCUGCCCGCUGCCCUCUUACCUUCCCAGUUCUUGCCGUCCCUCCAAAAUAAUUUCCAAUCUCUUUUCUCCAAGUGAAAAUCAAAAUAUCUGCAACAGCGGUGCUUCUUUCCAAACUGUUUGUUCGAUCUCCAAGCCUUUGCUUUCAAGCCCUCUAUAGGAUAGGGCAUAGGUGUGCUGUUGAUAAGCUGCAAUGUAUGGAAGGUUGUAGAAUUUUGAUUGGAUACUCAUUACAGAGUACACGCCUAGCGAAACCUUCACCAAACACCUAUUAAUCAUUUCCUUUUUGUUUACCUAAUCCCUCCUUAAAAGCAUUGCAAUUUGCAGGUAAUUUUCAUUAUUAAUACUCUUGUCCUUCUUCUUCUUAUGUCUAAUACGGUCUAUCUUCAUUUGAAAGAUUUAAAUAAAUCUUUCAAACUUGUGGUCUAUCUUUAUUUGGCUGAUUAAUUUAAUUAAAUCUUCAAACU